AAUAAGGAAUAAGAAAUUAUUCAUGCAAAAGAGAAUAACUUAGUGCAAUACUUUGUGAAGAGGAUUUUACAUAUGUUUUGAGAAGACAAAGUGAAAGAGACUACACUAUGUUGCUAACAUCACGUGGUACCGCAAUUGUGGAAUGCAAAAACCUCCACUUUAAAUAUUCUAACACUAAGAAUUGGUUGUUAGGUAAAAACAGUAGUAAGAUAGAAUAGGAUUGGGACAAGUCCCUUCCCUUUUCUUCUUCUCGAUCGGUGGCCACAUAAGACUCCAAAUUUGACAACCAUAUGCCUCCUCCUUGGCAAAUUCUUGCAUCAGAAUGACAGCAACAUAGGCAAGAGUACCUACAUUUGUGAUACCAAAAUAGUUAAAGGAAGAAGAUCAAGUAUAGUAAGGACAAAUAUGACAUCACAAAAAAAGAAAGGAAAUGGGCAGCUAGCAUAGGGGCAGCCGAGACACCCCUACAAACUCAUGAGAUCAGCCAGUUUAGGGUCCCAACACUUGCACAAAUUAAGUAAGGAGGCAUUGUGCCAAGUCCAAAAAGAGAUAGAGCUGUCAGCCCCAAAGUAGAGUUUUUGUCCCCAAGUUUUAGUCACAAACAGCCAAGAAAUGUGGCUAUAUAAACCACCCAAGACCACUCCUCUCCCACACCUCUCAAGCACCCCAAAGUUCGAGUAUUAUUAAGGAGUAUCAAAGGAGAGGCAGUGGCAAGGAGCAAGGAGGGCAGCCAAGAAACAAAGGAUUCACCAAGUGAGAAUUUACUGAAAUCAUUUCACAAGGGAUCUCCUAAAGAAUGGUGUUUGGGGGCAUCUUCUUGAAGAAACAUCAGGUAUGAAGUUAAAAUUAAUGGUAGUUUUGUAGGGGAUUUUACUGAUAAUAUUUGUCAUGAGCUUAGCUUACUCGGUUUGAUUUCUAGCUGUGAAAUUAACAAGGCAAGUCCUUCACAUCCCACUUCCCACUUGCUAUGGUCAUCCAACUUCUUUAAAUGGAAAAGAAAACGCAAGUGAUGUUAGUUCUAGAGUUAUUGCAGAACAUAUAGAGAGUUUAUGUAUAUAUAUGUUUGGUAAGUUUUGGUUAAUUACCCUUUAAUAUCAUUGGAAAACACUAGUUUUAAUGCUGAUGUAUAUGUGUGUGGCUUCAGGUGGUGGAUACUAGAGAGGAAGUUAUUUUUUUUAAAAUUAACUCCUAUAUAAGGGAGAAAAUUACAAAUAAACUCCUAUAUUAUAGAUAGAAGGAAAUUACAACUGAUGUCAAGAGGGCUCGAACUCAGCACCUCAUAGAAGAUGUGCCCAAAGAUGAACAAGAUAAGUUUGAUCAAAGAUUUGAAAGGAAAGAGACGAAGUUCAUGAGACUGGGAAUGAAUAAGAUAUGUGUAGUUGAUAAAUUUGCCAACAAUAGUCCCACCAAACAUGAGACAGAGAAGCUACAUGAAUCGUUAUUUUGUUAAUUUGCACUGAUGCUCAACAUUAUUAAAUUUUGGUGUUAUGAGUAAUUAAUGAAUAUUCGUGUAUC